GCUGCCUGAUCGCGGCUUCUUAUCAUAGUUUGUGAAGAUGGGCUCGAAAGGAAAGCCUACUAGUUUUCCAUGGAAAGUGUAAUCACAUAUAUGCCUAUUAAGGUGAUCAAUUGAUGAUGUCUGGCCAUGAUAAGAGAGGGAACUCUCCUGGUUCUAUGAAAAGAUGUGGUUCCUAACUCCUAUAAUCCGAACCAGUACCCAUCCUUCCAGGACGUGAUAUCGGCAGCUCAGCACCAUCUCGAGGACUUUCCAUUAGCUCAAGAGAGCUCCACCAUGCAGCACCCUCAACCAUUCAACUGGAAAUGCAUUGGUCCCCUCCGCAAGCUCACGCUAUCAAAUUCAAUUGUGAUGCAGCAGUGCCCAAACGAGGAAACAUGGGGCUGUGGUGGGCAUAUGCCGAGACCACCUGAGGUUUUCCCUAGGUUGGUUCUGCAAGCGCGUUCCAGCAAUCACUAGCCCGCUAAUUUUAGACUGUCUUGCAAGCGAGGAAGCUG
rnacentral:misc_RNA from 1 species